AGGUCUAGACAAGGACCUCGGUCCACUUUG
rnacentral:piRNA from 1 species